rnacentral:miRNA from 1 species
UUCAAGCUCUGACACAGUACU